rnacentral:sRNA from 1 species
AGGAGAUACAGAACUAGAAGAUGUUCUCAAGGAACUGGGGAGUGCUGAAGAACUCACAACGACGGUGUCUAUCACGUAUUUAGUAAUCACCGCCCUGGUGCUGAACUCCUGCCUCGCCAUGUAUAUGUACAGAAAGGGCCGGAAAGCGGAGCCCGACGAAGACACCUCUGAUGAUGAAGACGGCGAGGAUGAUGCUUAUAAUAUGAGAGACUCGGUGAUGAUUUCCAGCACGGAUUUGAACGGCUGAGGGAAUUAUCGAUAACAGGAGACGACAGACAACAAAAAAUUCUAAUUAAUAUUCUGUAGAGCCUUAAAGAGAACAAUCAAAGAUGGUGAGAAACACUUACUCAAAAGUUGGACAUAUAUUUGUGGGAAAAAGUUAGGAUAUCAAGGCCAUGUGACGUAACGACAAGGAUUGUUACGUCAUUGUAAACAUAAGCAGACUCAAGUUCAAUUAGCAAUGUUAUUUUGCAUAGAGCUUCAGUGGUUCUAAGUGCCAAGAAAGUCCACCGCUUAUAAAAUGAGGAUUAAAAACACCUUAUAAAAGCCUUUGAAUGAGAAGAAAAUGGCAUGGGCUAUGUACAUUCAGUUGAAAGGAAACCGUAGAAAGAAACCUGAAGUUGUUAUACCAAGUGUUUCAAGUGAUAUGGUUGUUAUGUCUAUCACAAAUACAAAGGUCUAUUCUUUU